CUAUUCUUUUUGUUAGUGGUGUAAGGUAUACUGACUAGACUGAUCACAGCGAAAAACAAGAAGAUAGAAGAAAUGAAAAAAUAUUGGAACCAUUUUUGCACCCACUGUAAUUUCAAAUAUUGGAAGAGAUAAAUCCAUUGCAGACGACUUUAAUUGAACGGGGUAUUGUAAGCAGUAGAGUAGCCUUGUUGCUACGAUCUGCUGAGAUUAAGCCCAUUGUUCUAUAGAUUU
rnacentral:ncRNA from 1 species